UGCAGCGCCUCCUGGCUCUGAUCAGUGCCGGUGUCCAACUUAGCAGUUCCGGGACCCAGAGCCCGUGCCCAUUCUCUCCCUUCUCCCGUGCACCCACCCUCGUGUGCUCGCAGCCUCAGAAGCCGGGGCGGGGGAGGUGUCAGUCAGAGGUGCUUCUGCUGCGGGGUCAGCGAACGUCCUCGAGCAAGCCGAGAACUAGGACUCAUCCUUGGCACCUCCGCGUCCUUCGCUGCCCUCCUUAACAUACAUACUCACUUCUUGUCGAUUCUCCUCCUUAAACAUCUUUCCAGUCCACCAUUCCUCUGCGUUCCCACCACCAUCUCUUCCUCGGCUGCUGCAACAGCGUUCUAGCUGGUUUUCCUGCGCUCGCUGGGCCGACUACUGCUGCACUCCACUCCCCACACAGCAGCCCGGGUCGUUUCAAAGUGCAAGUCGGACCUGCCACCCUCUGCUCAAAUCUCUCCAUGGUCAAAAUACAGAAACUAAGAUGCAGAGAAGUGCAGGGACCCGUCCAAGGCCAGACAGCUGGUGAGUGAUGGAGCUGGAAUCUGAACCAGGCAGGCUGCCUCCGGAGACCGUGCUUAUAGCAACCACUGCUCCCGGCCUGCCCCCUUCACCCCAUUGCAGUUUGCAUCUUCCAGGGAGCGUCUGGGGAGAUGAGGCUGCAGAGCAACCAGUUAACCUGAAUUCCAGAGAAGGACAGGAGCCUCUGAGAAGAGACUGGAUGCAGGCGCUGGCACGCUGGUGACGCAGGGGGAGGACAAGGUCUGCAGACGGGCAGGCAAGAAGCGUUCGGCUGCAGUUGUGCUGACUGGCUAAAGCCCAGGGUGGCCGGUGUGAGACGGGGUGGAGGGGGGGCCCGCAGAUACUGAAAGUAACCAUGGAAACAACAAAACUCAGCCUAGUGUAACUCCUGACAAGACUGACUCGGUCCCGCACACCAAUGGCCCAGGAAGGGAUAUACCAAUUUCUAGGCAUAAAUAACAUUGUCCCCAGUCUCUGAUGCUCUACACAUUCUGUCCAGAAAUCAAUAAAAAACAACAACACAUAAACAAAAAGCAACUUUACAACCCCCCCCCAAAAAAAAACACCCAAAAGCCCUAUUGUCAAGAGACGAAGUAAUGGACAGAACCAGGCUGAAGACCUGGGUAGCCCUCUGGAGUUAUCUGACAGCGAAUUUAAAACAAUUAUAAGGAUAUGUGAAAGGCUCUGUUGGGAAACGUGGCCAACAUGCAUAAACAGAAAAGAAGUUUUAGCAGAGAUGUGCAGACUACAAAAAAAGAGUCAUAUGGAAAAUUCUAGGGACUUUAAAAACAUGUAACAAAGAUAAAGACUGCCUUUGGCAGGCUCCUCCGUGAACUCAACACAGCUGAGGAAAGAAUCAGUGAACUUGAAGAGAGACCAAGAGACACCCGAAUAGAAACAGAAAGAGAAGGAAAAUCGAAGCAAAACAAGACAAAGCAAAGGAACAGAACAUCCAGGAGCUAACGAAUGUGUGAUUUGAAUCCCAGAAGGAGAAAAGAUGCAAAUGAAAAUAUGCACACACACAAAAUAGGACCUAGAUACUUAGUCAAACUGUUGGAAGCCAAAGAUAAAGAGAAGAUGAUAAGGCAUCUAGAGGGAAAAGACACACUACCUCCAGAGGAGCAAAGGCAAUACUUAGAGCUGACUUCGCAUGAGAGAAGUCAUGUGACUGGAAGACAAUCGAAUGGUAUAUUUUUUAAGAUUUUAUUUAUUUAUUUUUAGAGA